AUUGAACGCUGGCGGCAGGCCUAACACAUGCAAGUCGAGCGGAGCGGCGGACGGGUGAGUAAUGCCUAGGAAUCUGCCUGGUAGUGGGGGAUAACGUCCGGAAACGGGCGCUAAUACCGCAUACUAUCAGAUGAGCCUAGGUCGGAUUAGCUAGUUGGUGGGGUAAAGGCCUACCAAGGCUACGAUCCGUAACUGGUCUGAGAGGAUGAUCAGUCACACUGGAACUGAGACACGGUCCAGACUCCUACGGGAGGCAGCCGUGGGGAAUAUUUGACAAUGGGACAAAGCCUGAUCCAGACAUGCCGCGUGUGUGAAGAAGGUCUUCUGAUUGUAAAGCACUUUAAGUUGGGAGGCGUUACCAACAGAAUAAGCACCGGCGAACAAGGUGCCAGCAGCCGCGGUAAUAC
rnacentral:rRNA from 1 species